GAAGUUCUAAAUGAUGAAAAAGUCAUUAAUCUCAUAAUUUUUUUUGGAUCUUAAAAACUUUAUCAAAGUCAGAAGAUGAUCCCCAAAAUUCAAUACCAUAUUGAAUUGUUGAAAAAAAGAAAGAAUAGUAAAUUAUUAUUCUAGUUUCCAAAGUUGAAUUUCGUAACACUAGCAUUUGAUAACAUGCCGAGUUCAAUCUUCUAAUAAUAUUAGUGGUUACGGUAGAUUAAGUUUUAUAAAUAAUUAAAUUAACCAUGAAUAAUAAGCUCGCAAUAAGAGAUCGUGUUUUUAUUCUUCAGCAGUGCUGGUUACAUGAUCAUAAUUACAAUGACGUAGUAGAGUCAAUUCCCAAACAGUAGACCAUCAUCACGACAAGCCAUUAACCUAGUAAAACACAUUUAUGUUGUAAAACAUGAAUAAGUUAGUUGGCUAUCUUUUUAAUUUAUUGGUCAACUGAGUUUUAUCCUCGAGACAAACUUCAGAAAAAGUAUUCACUUCAAAAGUAUGUACCAGAAAAAUUACAAAAAUGUCUGUUGUCCUAAAGGAGUUUAGGUAGAAUCUGCAGGGGAACAGGGAUCUACACCGCUACAAUAUAAGAACUAGGGUACUCUUCACCUUUCAGCACAACGCCUGAGGCUGUCGAUCUUCCUACAUAAGGGUAAAACUCUACAACCACCUACCUGCCAGUAAAACUCCUGUCCAAAAAUCCAGGAACUAGAAGAUGGCUUUACACCGAUGACUCCUGGACCGACCGUAUUACUCAAUAGAAGAGUUUGUAUGAAGGGCAUUUCAAAACUCUUUUUGCUACAUUUUGAAUAUUAAUGUAUACUUAAAACUGAAUCCUGUUUCUGUUACUCUGUUUAUAAACUUUAAAUAAGGAAA